UGGCGGCAGGCCUAACACAUGCAAGUCGAGCGGAAACGAUCCUAGCUUGCUAGAAGAUGACGAGCGGCGGACGGGUGAGUAACGCGUAGAAAUCUACCUAGUAGUGGGGGAUAGCCCAGAGAAAUUUGGAUUAAUACCGCAUACGCCCUACGGGGGAAAGCGGGGGAUCUUCGGACCUCGUGCUAUUAGAUGAGUCUGCGUCGGAUUAGCUUGUUGGUGAGGUAAUGGCUCACCAAGGCGACGAUCCGUAGCUGGUCUGAGAGGAUGACCAGCCACACUGGAACUGAGACACGGUCCAGACUCCUACGGGAGGCAGCAGUGGGGAAUAUUGCACAAUGGGCGCAAGCCUGAUGCAGCCAUGCCGCGUGUGUGAAGAAGGCCUUAGGGUUGUAAAGCACUUUCAGCAGUGAGGAAAGGGGUGUCGUUAAUAGCGCCAUCCUGUGACGUUAACUGCAGAAGAAGGACCGGCUAACUCCGUG
rnacentral:rRNA from 1 species